GGGGGCGUUCCGGUUUCGACGGGGAUGAGGAAACGAGGAAAGCGGGCGGCGGGGCGUUCCGCCUUAACAACAGCAACUUAAAAAUUAUCUGACAAAGAUACAACUUCGGUCAACUACAGCUAUAACAGCAACAGGUUGGCUCUCGCGGCAUAAUUUAAGUCCGCGCGUUCUGCCCGGGAAUCCGGCGACCCGGGAUUUGAGCGUCGAUUAGCCGGGAACGUGUGUACGCUGACGCCUAAAUGCGUGCCACGCACAAUAGGCUGCCACGGUAACAGUCUUGCGGAUCUGCUGUGACCGGAUAAGCUAAAAAAUCCGCUGCGCCCGGAGAAAUCAUCGCGGAAUCGUUUUCGGACAGGGGUUCAACUCCCCUCGCCUCC
rnacentral:tmRNA from 1 species